rnacentral:lncRNA from 10 species
UUUCUUUUUCUUUCUUUUUUUUUUUUUAAGACGGAGUAUCGCUCUGUUGCCCGGGCUGGUGUGCAGUGGCGCGAUCUCGGCUCACUGCAAGCUCCGCCUCCUGGGUUCCCGCCAUUCUUCCGCCUCAGCCUUCCAAGUAGCUGGGACUACCGGCGCCCGCCAUCGCGCCCAGCUCAUUUUUUUGUAUUUUUAGUAGAGAGGGGGUUUCACCGUUUUAGCCAGGAUGGUCUCGAUAUCCUGACCUUGUGAUCCGCCCGCCUCGGCCUCUCAAAGUGCUGGGAUUACAGGCGUGAGCCACCGCGCCCGACCUAUUGGUUUCUUUUUUUGACACGGAGUCUCACUCUGCCACCCAGGGUGGAGUGCAGUGAUGCAACGUCUCCCUCUUGGGUUCAAGCAAUUCUCCUGCCUCAGGCUCCCAAGUAGCUGGGAUUACAGAAAACUCUUGAGUUCUCCCUGAAAGGAGACUAAAGAACAAUCCUCUGCAGAUGUGUCUGAAUCCUAAAAUGAACUUAAGGUUUCCCAGGCAAGAUGGCCGA